rnacentral:rRNA from 1 species
UACAGAGGUCUCAAGCGUUGUUCGGAUUCAUUGGGCGUAAAGGGUGCGUAGGCGGCCUGUUAAGUCUUGCGUGAAAUCUCGGGGCUCAACCCCGAGCGGUCGUGAGAAACUGGCAGGCUAGAGUGCGGGAGAGGAGAGUGGAAUUCCUGGUGUAGCGGUGAAAUGCGCAGAUAUCAGGAAGAACACCAAUGGCGAAGGCAGCUCUCUGGGACGGUACUGACGCUGAGACGCGAAAGCGUGGGGAGCGAACAGG